ACCUGUCUAGUAUAUUCUCAUAUAAUGCAUUUCAGAUACCAGAUUCUUAGGGUUUUUUUUUUUUCCUGGUUGAUUAUUUAGUAGAAUUCAGUUUUCCAAACAUUCUCUACCUUCUCAUCUAUCAAACAUCAAUCACUGCUUUCUGGAUACCUCUGUCCCCUGGUUUUCCCUGGCCUUCCUUGUUUUUACUGAGUUUCUGUACCUAGUAGAUGUUUUUAAAUUGCUUUAUAUUAUCUUAUGUAAAAACCUAGUAGGCAGUGGGCUGAUAUUAGCUUUCAUCACAGGGGAAUCGGUGAGCUUAGCAGACGUGUGUGUGUGUGUGUGUGUGUGUGUGUGUGUGUGUGUGUGUGUGUAAUGUGCAUGUGUGUGCAUGCAUAGGCAGGCAUCCCUCAACCCAAUCAGACUCUACUUAUUUUAAGCAGUGAUCUCAGAACUGCCUGAUCUCCUGUUGUCGCCUUACACUCCCUCUGUAUCCCCUACAGUUCCAGGUGAAAACUUGAUGUGUUUUGACUUUAGGAGCUCUGACCUCAGCUCUCACAUCCUCAGCCCACAAGAUGGCUGCAAACUCAUCCUGCCUCUGACAGAUCAGUGAGUGCUUGAGAAAGUAGUUGGAGCCCAUCCCUGGCUCCCGAUGCCCUCCCCUCCUGCCCUGGAAGCACUCACAGAGACUAUCUGCACACUUGCUUUCCUCUUUGCUCUGUAUCAAUGCCAGCAUGCCUCCUGCUGUUUGGUCCUCUCCAGUGUAUUUCCUGUCUCUUCAUUUUAACAGUUUGGUUCAUUGCCUGAUAUACAUUUCACAACUUGGAGGCGAAACUUAUUUUUUUUUCAAAAUAUGACAGCCAAUGCCUUUUAACCUGAACUUCAGCCUGUCCACAUUCACCGCGACAGUUGGUGUAACUAGUUUCCUGUUGUCUGUUUUAUGUUAUAUCUGAGUUUGUUUUCCUGUCGUUCUUUUAAGCUGUCUCCUUCCCCUUUUUAUUGAACUGCAAAUUAUGUUUCUAUUUCCUUUAUCCCUUCUCACUUACUAUAAUGUCUACAGCAUUUUUCUCCUCAUUCCUCUCCAGAUCAAAAUUUUAUCCCAGAUAAGAAUCCCAACCUUUCUACUAAGGAACAUAAAGUAAGAGUCUGAAUUUCUCUCAUCUGCUCUGUAUCUCCAGGUCAUCGUUUGGUUGUUGUUGCUGUUGUUUGUUUGUUUUCCUCGGCAUUUUUAGCUCAUUUACUGGUGCAGCAGGCCUUUUAACACAGGUCACAAAGUGCAGGGACUGCAAAGAUAAUUAGAGGCAUAGCAAAUUCUGUGGAAAAUGUUUGGGAUGGCUAAAAUCAUCAUGGGCAAACUCAAAACUACUUAUGAGAAUCACAGACCAAGAAAUGUGCUUUUUUUAAGAGGCAAAAUACUCUUACAUCUUGAUUUAUUUUAAGGACAAAUAAUCCAGCAAGGGAAGAAAGAAGCCAGAUAAGUAGGCAAUUUUCAGAGAUGUAAUUUGAAAUGAACAGUAAGGGCCUGGGAACAUGGCUCAGGGGUCAUGGAGACAUGACUGUGUGGCAGGAGUGUGGUGUGGCUUUUCACUCGCUGGCCAGCCUGCCAGAGCGACCAAAGAUGCCCCACCCCCGCCCUUGCACAUGCUAUGGCGAGCGUGGCACCGUGUGUACAGCCACAGUCCCAGUGUGACAGUGUAAGUAAGGGAUUAGCUCCUGGACAAUCUAGCCAAGGCUAUUAAACACAGACACCCGCCCUGCUUGACAGAUUUUAUUUUUCCUAGAAAAAUAAAAGUGAUCGUAUGAGUGUUCAGCACCUCUAAGCUGAGGUUUGGUGGAUUGAUUUUUCUAUUUCAAAACAAUUUGAAGCUCUAAAAGUCACCGAGCUAGGACGUUGGAUAUUCAAGCAGAGGAGACAUGUCUAAGGGGUUAAAUGCAGAAGUCAUGUGUGGCAGCACAUAUGCUAUGACCCGAUUCUGAUUUUAAGAACACUGAUGUGUUAGUUGUGAUCACGGGAGACAGAAGACUGAGGGCUGUUGAAGAACUUCCCAUUUACAGAGACUGGAAUCCCAAAGAGUGGCGGAGCCACCAUCUCCUCCUUCAUACACAUCAUACAGUUGUAGUCACCGUGACCAUUACUUCCAAGGUGUCCUAGAUAACUAGGGAUGAAAUGUCACAGUUCCAUGAUAGACCACAGAGAACACUUCCUGGAGGUGGUGGCCAACCUUUGGGGCUUAUAUUACAAAUGGCAGCCUCUGCAGCCUGUUUACAGAGCCUUUCGGUUCCCUUGAACUGGGUAAAUCCCAUCAUUCGCUGUUUUCUCCCCUCGCUUACUGCUACCAGCAUGGCUACUUUCUUGCUUGUCUAGGCCUGCCUCAACUUCCGAGAAAAAUGAGCAUAAUUACAAAUCAAUCCCGUGUCCCAUCUGCGACUUCUCUGACUAAAGAAGAGAUAUCGAGUGAAUAAUCCCAGGGCUGUCUGCACUAUAGUGUCCUUCUCCAACCCAAUCAGAGGUUAUCUGUGACCCAGCUCUAAUGCGUACAGCGAGUGAACUCUUUCCUUGAUCGCCUUGCUGAUGCCAAUGGCAAAAGAAAUAUAUCUCAUUUUAAUUUCCUGACUGUUCUUAGCCAAGAUAAGCACGGGAUAAGAAGGGGAAAGUGUCUGCUUGCACGUUGUCCUUUGAUGACAAGCAGAUGAGCCCUUUCCUGUCCAUUCGCCAUAAAUAGUAUUUCACUGCAGAAAUGCGUGUGCAACUCAUGGGGUCAUUUUGAAGUGCUUCUAAAGAGAAAGAUUUGCCCCUCAAGGCUAAGCACGACCACUUUUGUCUGUGUUAUUAUUUCAGUAACAGACAAAGGCAGGCCAAGUGGCAUCUAUUCAAGUCCUGUACCCUCAAGAACUUCAUGCACAGACUAAACCAGAGCCCAGGUCCCUGGAUCAAGCCUCUUCUGUAGUCAGAAGGAAAGCGUCCCUUCCCAGGAUGCGCACACAGGGACAGUGAGAGCUAUUCAGCUAACCAGUUUUAAUUCAUCAUUAUUUUCACAGGGGAUUCUUAGCAUCUUUUCACACUGAGCCACACAGUGUAUACACACAUUCAGAUAUCACGACACCCCACAAAUAGAGACUUCUGUACGCCUUUACAUCCGUCAAUAAUUUCGAUUU
rnacentral:lncRNA from 1 species